AGAGUUUGAUCCUGGCUCAGAGCGAACGUUAGCGGCGGGCCUAACACAUGCAAGUCGAGCGAGAAAGUGGCUUCGGCCAUCAGUAAAGCGGCGGACGGGUGAGUAACACGUAGGUAAUCUUCCUUCGAGCGGGGGACAACGGUCCGAAAGGACCGCUAAUACCGCAUACGUUUCUCGGGACCUCGGUCCUGGGAAGGAAAGCUAGGUAGCAAUAUCCGGCACUCGAUGAGGAGCCUGCGUCGCAUCAGCUAGUUGGUGGGGUAAUGGCCUACCAAGGCGAAGACGCGUAGCUGGUCUGAGAGGAUGAUCAGCCACACUGGGACUGAGACACGGCCCAGACUCCUACGGGAGGCAGCAGUGGGGAAUAUUGGACAAUGGGCGCAAGCCUGAUCCAGCCACGCCGCGUGAGUGAUGAAGGCCUUCGGGUCGUAAAGCUCUGUGGGGAGGGACGAACCGCUGCUGGUUAAUACCCAGCAGCAUGACGGUACCUCCUAGCAAGC
rnacentral:rRNA from 1 species